CUUAUCCCAUCUAACCGACAUACUCCUUCCCUCAAUUACAAAUAAAAUCACGCCUCACACAUCUUCCUCCUUCCCUCACUCAUGGCUGCUACCUUACUCCUUUCUCCUUCACUCACGGCUGACCCACGAACACCACCAUCAACCGGCAGCCCGGCCACGAGCUCCACCACCAACAACAACCACUUCUCCUUCCUUUAUUGUUGGGUCUAUCUCUUACAGGGGGUAGAUCCACUUUCAGGUUGCCAUCUUUAGUGCAGAUGAAUGUGCUGCUCAUUUAUGUGUCAUGUGUUGCGAUAGCGAGGACAUCGUUUUCGGAAGGUUAACUUAUAUUGACAUUUUGACAAAUCAUGUCUUAUUAAAUAAAAAAAUAGAUGUUUUAUAAUGUAUUAAUUUAGUUUAUAACUGGGUUGUAAGUAAUUGUAUUACAGUUUUGUAAAGUUUUUAAAUACUCUGAUAUUGGUUGCUGUGGCUAUCGAGCCACAGGUCGGAUUUAGCCCAAACUUCUAUAAGUCUUCCGCUGUGCUUUGUAGACAAUAUUAUUAUUAUAUUGUUUACGCUGGUUUGGGCUGUUUCAAUUGGUAUCAGAGCCUAGUUGUUUCUGGCGUACUCGAAUCCUCAUAUUCGAGUACAAAACAUUGGAAAAAAAAAUGAAUUUCGAAAAUUCGAGAGAGCUCGGUAGUCGUGUCUUAGGAUGUAUCCUCUGAGAAUCGGAUAGUAUUAAUGUGACUAUGUGUUAUAGGUGUGAUAUGUAACGUGCUUACGUGCUAAGGAAAUCUUGAAGUUACCUUACGUGUUGUGAAUCCUCUUUUAGUACGAGUCAUGCGAAGGUCAAGAGUUAAGUCCGAAUUACGAAUUUGGAACUUUGAAGUUUGGUAAAAGGAGUUUUAAAGGAUAUUAAAGUUAAGUUGGGAAUUUUUUUCGUUUGAAUCUUGUUUGGUGGAUUAACUUGAUUUUAUGUGAAAUAUUGUGUGAUUGUUUACAUGUCAUGUAUAAAAAAAAAAAAAAAAAAAGAGAUGUUUUUAAAAGAUUUCAAAAUUUCAACUUGAAAUAUAUAUAUACUCGAGUCAAGUAUUCUUUAAAUUGUUUUACAAAAGAUAUAAUAUAUACUCGGAUAACUGGCAAAAGGAGUUGAGGACCAAACUUAUUGAGAAUUGCGAUGAUGUUGUGCAAGAAUGAUUCGAUGCAAAGAGUUUACAAGAAACAUUUUGGGAAUAUUGAAAGUUAUGCGUUAAUUGUGUGUUAAGAUUGAAGAUCUAUAAAGGAAUAAAGAAUAUAGAAAAAAAUAUUUGUGACAUGUUCAAUUAUGGGAUGAGAAAUUUUAAUUAAGGAAAGUUAUUCGAAAGGAAACAAAGGAUAAUGCAAUUAAUAGUAACUUAAAGUUAUGUUGUAGUAAGUUUGAUUGAAUAGCCUAUACGUGUUGAGGAUAAUGUAAAAUCAUGAUUGAGAAAGCUUUCAACGGUUUUUAAUGAAUAAAUGAUAACUUUGGGACGCUAUAAAGGUUUUAUUGAUGGCAAAAUGUGAAUUAAGAAAAAAGGGAUCAAUUGGAAGUUUAAAGAAUACUUAAAUUGUAAUAAUUUUGACUUGUAAGUGAGGAAAUGUUUGGUUAUUAAAGGUUAAAAAAAAUUGGGAUCGUAUGAAACUAUUAAUGGUAAAACGUGAGUAUAAUAGAAUAAUGGUUUAAAACAAAAUAUGAAUUUGAAUGUUUAAAGGUUAUUGAAGUUAUUUCGGAUGGAUUUCUUAUGGAAUUUGAAGUUUUAAGCGUUAAAUGAAGAGUAUGGUUAUAAAUGUUAUAAUUCGAAGUAAGUUGGCAAUGAUCGAGUUUUGAGUUAUUUAAAGUUUAUAGAAAAAUGAUUGUGGAUAUCUUUAAUGAAUAUGAGAUUUAAUAAUGACUUAAGGUAUUCAUCUCAAAGUAUCUCGGGAGUUAUAAGAGUUUUAAUAAGAAAUUUAAUUGUAAUUGGGAAACAACAAGUAAGUUGAUGAUUCAAUAUCUCAAAGGUUGAAAUGACAAAAUAUGUAAUUAAAGGUAUAAAAAAUUUUGAAGUAACGUGGUUGAUUUAAAGUACAUGUGAACGAUUACGUAAAGUAAAUCGAGGUUGAAGUUUCAAAUUUAAAGGUUUGAAGUAAUUCAAUUGAGGUUAGUUGUGUUACCAAUAUGUAAUUCAUCUCAUAUGAUCGAAAGUGUGUAGGUAUAGUAUGUCUUGAAUCAAAGCUGGGGAGUAACUAAAGUUUAUUUGGUUCUCAUUUCACGAAAUUUGAGUUAUACGUUAUGACUAAGGGUGAUUAGAAGAGUAUGUAUAAUUUCGGGGACGAAAUUAUUUUAAGUUGGGGAGAAUGAAAUAGACUACAUUUAAUAAAGCUUAAUUAUAAGUUUAUUAAGCUGAUUGGGGUUAUUAAGUAAGUUAAUCCGAGUAAUAAUAUUAUUAUUUUGAUAAUAUUGACUCAAGUAUUUCAUUUGUUAAUAUUUUCAAGAAAAAGGUUUAUUUUAUUUAAUGUAUAAAAUUCGUACAAAGAAUACUUCGAUAAAAGUGUAUUUUGAUUAUAUUUUAUUAAUUGAUUACUAUCUUAUCUUUAUAAAAAUAAAUUUAAAUAAAGUAUUGAAAAAUAAAUUUCUAAAUGCAAUCCUUAUUCAUACUACCAAUUACGAAAUAUUGCUUAUUUCAUAAAUCGUCUAUUAUAACCUUACAACAUGUCUUAUAUAAGAUUGUCUUACGACGAGACGACUUUAAUAGAAUUUAAUGGGUCAAAACUGAAAAUAAAAGUCAUUCUUAUCCCAUCUAACCGACAUACUCCUUCCCUCAAUCACAAAUAAAAUCACGCCUCACACAUCUUUCUCCUUCCCUCACUAACGGCUGCUACCUUACUCCUUUCUCCCUCACUCACGGCUGACCCACGAACACCACCAUCAACCGGCAGCCCGGCCACGAGCUCCACCACCAACAGCAACCACUUCUCCUUCCUUUAUUGUUGGGUCUAUCUCUUACAGGGGGUAGAUCCACUUUCAGGUUGCCAUCUUUAGUGCAGAUGAAUGUGCUGCUCAUUUAUGUGUCAUGUGUUGCGAUAGCGAGGACAUCGUUUUCGGAAGGUUAACUUAUAAUGACAUUUUGACAAAUCAUGUCUUAUUAAAUAAAAAAAUAGAUGUUUUAUAAUGUAUUAAUUUAGUUUAUAACUGGGUUGUAAGUAAUUGUAUUACAGUUUUGUAAAGUUUUUAAAUACUCUGAUAUUGGUUGCUGUGGCUAUCGAGCCACAGGUCGGAUUCAGCCCAGACUUCUAUAAGUCUUCCGCUGUGCUUUGUAGACAAUAUUAUUAUUAUAUUGUUUACGCUGGUUUGGGCUGUUUCAGCUAUCUUUCGAUUUUGUAGCUUUGGUUAUCUUUUGUAAACCUUGGUUGUGUAUGUUUGUUAUGA